CAUUAAGAAGCUAUGCAACAGCACUAGCCUUUUAAGCUAGAGAAAGUGAAAUUUUACUUCACCUUAAUGA
rnacentral:tRNA from 1 species